rnacentral:lncRNA from 1 species
UAUAAAACACCACAUAGAAAACUCAAAUAUUAUUCAAUAUCAAAUAUAUGUCGUUUACUUACCUCACUGAACCAUCAAUGUCGAGCAACAUGAUGUUCGUACUUUACCAAAAGAGGCGUAUUGUGGGACCCUCCUAAAAAGUCAAUCGGUUGUGUUGCGGAUGCAGAUGCACCAAUAUGACAUUCCUCACCAGCUAACGUCGAUGAAGCACUCACCCUAAACCACGAUCU